rnacentral:lncRNA from 1 species
UUAUUUGACCUGCAAAUACAACUGAUAAUCCUGAAGACAUACCACCUGUGGAACGCCUGACCCAGGAAACAUUACUUCUUUGGGAAAAAAUUGCUUCAGUAGAAUCCCAGGGUCAAGAAAUUUCAGGAAACCAAAGACAACAAUUGCUGCUGAUGCUAGAAAAAGAUUAGUAGAUGAACAGAGUCAGCUCAGUGAGGACUUAGACGCAAAGAGACAGCUCUCUAGCAGUCUGGUGAAGUUCCAUGCUUAUCCAGAGAGCCUGCCAACUUUCAAACUAGAACUUCCACCAUCAUCCCUCCUGGUCCUCAGGCCUUCAGUCUCCAGCAGCAGCUAUACUAUCAGCUCUCCUGGGUCUCCAGCUUGCUGCCUGCAGAUCUUGGGGCUUCUCAGCCUCCAUCAUCACAUAAAUCAAUUUCUUCUAAUAAAACUUUUUCUGGCAUCUAUAAAUCUCCUGUUGGUUCUUUUUCUCUGGAGAAGCCUAAUACAGUGGGGACAUGGAUCAUCCCAGAGAGAACGUAGGAGUGAAGCAGGGAGCCCCAUCCUAGCAGCUGGAUCCUAGGGUCCUCCCAGAGUCUUUUCUGAAGAAGUUCCAAGUCCUACCUAAAAUCUCAAAUAAUGGCAACAGAGCCCGGUAAUGUGUUCUGGAUCCAUAGAGGAAGAGGUGUGGCUGGGUGACUUUCC